UUUCUGAACAACUUGGGGCGGGGGGUGGUCAAGAGGUGAGACGAAGAACAGAAGAGCAAGAAAGAAAACGGUCUUUUAAAUAAUUUAACAGCUAAAGCUUUGUUUUCUAUCAAAAUGCCAUCUUGUUUCUUAGUACAACAGGAAGAAGGAGUUUCCAGUGAGUGCCUAAACAAGCACCGGGGAAGAAACCUUCUCUGUGGCAGGCACAAUACACUACCACAGCAUCUUUUCUUGUGAAUUUUAAGUAGGAAACACUUUGAUAAUUAUGAUAAACUUGCUUGUCAUCUCUUUUUCACCAACUGACCAAGAAAUCUUUCAGGAUUACUGAAAUGUUACCAAGCACCACGUCUCCAACUGAAAGCAAUGUAUGCCUGACCUACUCAUACCAUUUCCAGCUCUAUCACAGAUAGAGCUUGAAUUAUUGUCCCAGACAAUGCAAGAGCCAACAGGCUCUGCCCACAUCUCCCCAUAAUCCCAGUGGCACCCUGGCACAGUGUUUUGCAUGAAGGUGAAGGAACUGGGGGCUCUACAAGAGGAGCCAGAGAAUAACAUCUGAUUUCAUGUCCCAGUUUUGUCUGAGGUCACAAUGACCUGAAUCCAGCAUGAAUUACAGAUAAUCAUCCUCCAAGCAAGUGGAUCUGUGCCAACUGAACCUCGGCAUUGCCUUGGAAGAAGACCAUUUCAGAGAAAAAUCUUAAGCCAUUCUUUACCUCAUCUUUCCCUGCACUAAUGUCUCUGCCAGUGGCCUGAUUUCCACUGGGAUAGAGAGGUGCACAAGAAGCUGGCAGGGAGCACAGCCAGGACAGCUGACCUGAACUGGCCAAAGGGAUAUUCCAUAGCACAGAACAUCAGUACACACACUGGGGAGAGGAUUACUGCUCAGGGACUGAGCAUGGGCUCUUAACAACAAGAUGAUCCUCACUGAAAAUAGAAUGUUUGGCAAGACUUUGGCAAGUAGGUUCAUUUCCAUUUCAAUUUUAGCCAUAUCCUCAAAUGGAUAAACUGCCUCAGUUAUUAUCAGAAGGAAGUUGCCCUGGACUUGAGAAUGACACAAUUUCCAGAGAGUUUGUGUCUUUUGUAAGGUCCUAAACUGAAAGACUUUAGCUAAGAUGGGAAAUCCUAACAUAAUUCAUGAUUUUGACUCCAUCCCAGUGCCUAAAGGACCACCACAGACAACCAGUUCUAGGCUCACAGGGCUGUUAUCAUCUGUUUUGCUUCUAAUAAGCAAGGUAAGCAAAGACCCUCACAGUUCCCACUCCUAAAUCUGGUGAAGCAGCAAGAAAAGAGUUCUUGUCAUCCCCACAAGGUGCUUUAAAAAAAAAUCAACAUCCAUGUGAAUCAAGUAACUUGCUGAAUGAUUCAUGGCUGUCAUAUCUGAACAAAAAAUUACUCUGUCAAUAUGCAGAAUAAAAAAAUAUAAAAAUUACGCUGCAGAUGAUUAGAGCAAAAUGCAUGAGUAUUAUGGAUUCUGAACCUUAAUGGAUGACAGACUUGCUACAUCUCCUUAACAUUGGAAGGAAAAAAAAUAUCUCUUUGGUGGCAUAGCACCAGCCUUUGCAAAGAGGGUAAAAAUAACAUGCAGCACAAGAGACAGGAAUCCAGCACAUUAGGUAAUCUGUGAUGAGAACUCUACGAAUAAAGCAGAUAAUACCAAACUAGUUAACUAAAAAAAUCCCCAACAAAACAGCCAUUUACAGAUCAAAAGAAUACCUGCCUAUAUGUUUCAAAUUAAAAACCAACUGGAAUGACAAGUAUUUGCCAUUUUAAAAUAAGCAAAGAACCAGAUAGACAAGAUGAUCUGGAUUUGCCCACCCUCUUAGACACAUUGGGUUUUAACAUUUCCAGAGUGUUGAAGCAAACACCCCACUACUUUUAUCUGGAUUUGAUGUUGCAUUUGGUACAAAACUUUCAUGUUCAGAAAGAGACUUGGCUUGACAGCAGAUGGAGUAUUCCAUUAAAACAUGAGUGGCAACAUGUGCCCACCCUCCCAGUCAAAAGCAGAAAAACACUUCUCAGGAAUAUCUGCCCAUAGAUCACAACAUGCUCACACCAAGCUUAACCACAAAAUAUUUUUUUUCCUUACUCUUGUCCCAAACUGUUCUUCUUGAUAAGUAAAUUCUGUAACUAAAAAACUUUAAAAAUAAUAAAAAAAUUAAAUAACAAAACAGCCUCAAGAAUUCAUUUAUCCAGAAAAGUGUAGGGAAACACUAACAGCAAGAAGUGACUAUUUCAAGUUGAGGGUAGCUAGAAGAAGAGAAGCUUUGUUCACUUUAUAAGAAAAGAUAUGUGGUAAUAUUAAA